rnacentral:lncRNA from 1 species
UAUUGAUCUUGAAAAAGACGAUAGUGUGAAAGCCGUCGUUGUAAAAAUUCGAGUAAACUGGAACAUUACAGAUAAAGCCCAUGAGGUAUUAAAGUAAACAUCCACAACUCUCGAAAUCCUGCAGGAUAGGCUGAUUUUGAAUCAGUGAUUGGGUCUUAUCUGAUCAAUUCUUGGAAACUACUAGCUUUAGCAGUAUUUUGGGGAUCUAAAGCCUUAGCUUGUGUAUGGUCCAGAUAUCACCGAGCACCCAAGUAUAAAGAAGUCUUACAACUCUCUAACGGAAGCUUAAUAACCUCAACUUAAGUUGCAUACUGACUUGGGAUUCGGGCUGACUUAGUAAUUAAAACUUUGCGUGCUUUUGAAAUUCUUGGCAUUUAUGCAUUUGAAAUUAGAUUUUAUAAAACAAUAAACUCUUUGAGUAGAGACAACAGUUUGUGGGUAUCUGAGCCGGAAACCCUCACGAGACAAAACUCGUCCACUAGGGCCACCUAGGGGUUUAAAGCCUUAUU